UAUUGCACGAUGGGGGGAACCCUGAUGCAGCGACGCCGCGUGAGCGAUGAAGUAUUUCGGUAUGUAAAGCUCUAUCAGCAGGGAAGAAAAUGACGGUACCUGACUAAGAAGCCCCGGCUAACUACGUGCCAGCAGCCGCGGUAAUACGUAGGGGGCAAGCGUUAUCCGGAUUUACUGGGUGUAAAGGGAGCGUAGACGGCAGUGCAAGUCUGAAGUGAAAGGCAAGGGCUCAACCCUUGGACUGCUUUGGAAACUGUGCUGCUGGAGUGCAGGAGAGGUAAGUGGAAUUCCUAGUGUAGCGGUGAAAUGCGUAGAUAUUAGGAGGAACACCAGUGGCGAAGGCGGCUUACUGGACUGUAACUGACACUGAGGCACGAAAGCGUGGGGAGCAAACA
rnacentral:rRNA from 1 species